CUUCCUACUAUUCAAAGACAUUUUAAAGCAAACUACAUGGGUAAUCUCCGGUGACAUUUUUAUGAAGUAAAAUACCUUUCGGUUAAAAAUAUAAAAUACAGGUAUAUUUUUACGGCAUGGUAUUUUAAUUGAAACCCUGAUGCUACUCAAUUUUUCUCAAGUAUUUCAUCUUCAUUUACUCAAUAAAGGAACCUUGUAAGAAUUAUAGUUAGGCAUCCUACCUGAUGAUUUUAUCGGGACCGUAUUAUUUCCACUUCCAGAAAUGUCGUUCCUUUCAGUCGGUUAAAAUCAAUUGGAACCAACUACAACCUACAAGUUUUC
rnacentral:lncRNA from 1 species